rnacentral:tRNA from 1 species
UAGCUCAGAGGUUAAAGCGUCUGCCUGCAAUGCAGGAGACCAGGGUUUGAUCCCUG